AAAAGAAAAAGAAAAAAAGAAAAAGGAAAAAGAAGAAGGAAAAAUUGCGCUAUAUAAUGCAUAUGCUAUCAAUAUAUCUUGG
rnacentral:ribozyme from 13 species